AUCAUCCAUCUGAAGGAUUUUUCCUGUACCCUGGGAAGAUACACAAAAGUUUGCAGAAAUGCUCCACAGCUUGUUUUUAGUUUACAGCCCUGCACAUAGGGAUGUGCACUGACUCUUGUGGGGAAUCCUGCAACCAGCCCAUUUUGCUUGUUUGAGGACCUGGAGAUGAUCCACCACCUAAGGUGGCACUGUGACCAGAGGAAAUUGAUUACCACUCCCUACAACUACAGAACUGAGCAUGUUAGAGAUCCAUCCAGAGCGAUUGCUAGCAGCAGUACUUGAAGGCUUUCCACUAAAGAGACGAGGCCUCACUAUGUUGCCCAGGCUGAUCUUGAACUCCUGGGUUCAAGAGAUCCACCCAUUUCAGCCUCCCAAAGCGCUGGGAUUACAGGUGUGAGCCACCGUGCCCAGCCCUGAUGCAUUUUCUGAAAGCUCUUCAGAAGCAAGUAAAUUGCUAAAGUAUUGCGCCUCCUAAAACGUUCAUGGAAAGGAUAGAAAGGACCCUGACAUCAUUUGCACUAGAUGAAGGAAGCUUUUCAUGAUGCACUAACGAAGACAAUGAAACCCUUUAUGAUCUAGAACCUGGAGACUGAGCCUUCUAAAAACAUCAGAAAAAGACUGCCCUUGCCACCUACACUGCAGCAAUAGAAUCUUUGGUCCAUGGAGUCACUCAUGCUAAAUGUGACAUAAUCAAACUGAAACUUGAAACUUGAAACUUGAAACUAUGGAAGCAGAUAGAUCCCAAAGCAGACUAUGAUUGGUUUUUUUUCCCUCUCUGUCCUGAAACAGGAGACUCCAGCAUAAGAAAGCCCCUUCUGGCCCGGUGCGGCGGCUUAUGCCUGUAAUCCCAGCACUUUUUGCUUGAGCCCAGGAGUUCAAGACCAGCGUAGGCAACAGAGCAAAACCCCAUCUCUACUAAAAGUAAAAGAUUAGCUGGGCAUGGUGGCAGUCACCUGUAAUCCCAGCUACUCGGGAAGCUGAGGCAGGAGAAUCACUUGAACCCGGGAGGUGGAGGUUGCAGCAAGUCGAGAUCGCGCCACUGCACUCCAGCCUGGGCGACAGAGUGAAACUCCUUAUCAAAAAGAAAGAGAGAGAGAGAGAGAGAAAGAGAGAGAAAGCCCUUUCUGGUGUAACCCUUACAGAAAAUUAACCUGAAGUCCUUGUUCCCACCUUACAAAUUCCACUGCUUUGCUAUUUCCCAGUGGGAUUUGAGUCCAAAUAAGAACAUUUAUGAUAGCGACAGAGUGACAUCAAUCGCCUAAAGAGAGGAUUUGUUAAAUUAAGUUUGACCUAAAGCUGCCUCCUUACAUAUUUAGAUUUGGUCUAAAAGUUUCUUCAUAUAUAGUGAACUGUAACCUAACUGGAUGUGUAAAGAGACUAUAACCUACUCUUGUAACAAAUAGCUGAAUCUUAGCCAAUUACAGCAGCCGAGUUUCAGUCAAUCACAGGUAGCCAACUGUUCACACCAUGUUCAAAUAAAGCAAACACCGAGCUGUAACUAAUCUGGCUAUUUCUGUACCUCAUUUCUGUUUUCUGUUCACUUUCCUUUUUCUGUUUAGAAAUCCUCCCUGACCACAUGGCAGUGCCAGAGUCACUCUGUACCUAUCGUGGUUCUGGGGGCUGUCUGACUCCUAAAUCAUGCUUUGCUCAAUUAAACUGUUAAUUAAUUAAUCAAUUUAAUUUGUCUAAAGUUUCUAUUUUAACCAGACUUAAAGUAUGUAUAUAUAUGCACAUAUAUAUGUAUACACACAUAUAUAUAUAUGUGUGUUUGUGUAUGUAUAGUCACACUGACAGUAACUAUGUGUUUGAUGUCUGUCAUGCAACAGAGCAAAAAAUUUUUUAAAUAGAGGGAAUAGAACUAAAAAAAACCUCCUAUCCAAUUGGUAGCUGAUUUAUUAGGAGUUUUACAACUGCCUGCUCAGGUAUCGGUAGUUCAUUUUGCUAGCAGAUCUUCAAAAGCUGCUGUUAAAACACAGCAAUCUCCAAACUUAAAAAGUUUUUAACACAAUGAGAAACGUUUGUUCAUUUUUAAAACAAUCCUUUGUAAAAGAAAAGAGACAAAAGGAUUAUAAAAGGGGCUAAAUGAAAUUUGACCGACUAUGGAAACUACCUAGCAAACUAAUUCCUAUGCCACAGUACGCAUUUGUUUGGUUAGUAUUGUUGUGUCAUCAACAAAAUCACCUGAAUAAAAGAGGGAAUUUAAAGACACUAAAUUCUUUCUGUACCUACCAAAAAGGGAAAAGUAUUCAAAACGUAUGGAAAAGAGAUGUGCUCUUUGUCAGCAGAAUUCUAUACAGGCCACUCCCAAGGUAAGCCCAAGAAGUUCUCCCUGGCCAGCUUUACCAGGAACCUGGUGGCAUUUGAUUUCAUAGAGUUAAUGCCUACAGAUGGUGCUUUUGUCUACCUAUGGUGUGUGUAAAGUCUAGAUGGCCUGAGGUCUUUUCCUCUUCCAAAGCUGAUGCUCAGGCAGUGAUAAAGGCUCUCCUAUUACACAUAAUUCCUACUUUUGGGAUACUAAAGCAUAUUGAAUCAGAGGAAGUCAUUUUACUUUUACUCUUGUCCAGAAAUUAUGCAAAUGUUUACAGAUCUCUAAAAGUUCCAGUCUUCUGCACAAGCAGAGCAAAUAAAUGCAAAAAAAGCAAACCAAAAAUCAAAACCAAACAUUCCUUGGAUAAGAUUCAGCAAUCUAUCAGAUUAAAUUGACCUAGAGCCUUAUCAAUUAGCCUUAUUACAAAUUAGAAUUUAAAAAAUAGAAUAACCCCUGCAACAAACAUGGAAUCUCUUCUUUGGACUUAUAUUUGGGGAGCCUAUGAGUUUGAGUCUGAGGCCAUAUGAUAUACCUAACUUAUUGAAUCCUUUCAUAAUUGUAUUCAGUACUUUAACAAGCUUCUCUCUUCUCCCCAGAAACCCUGAGACAAAGUCAGAAAGAUCUGGAAAGACCUGCCAGAGGAAAUCUGCCACCCCUCUGGACUAGGAGACUUCAUCUACAUAAAAGUGGGCUGUCACCAUGCUGGGAGGGACCCUUUAAAGUGCUGCCGAUGACCCAUAAGGCUAUCAGUGCAAAAGGCAAACUGCUGAAUCCAGGCUUCCUAUGUGAAGCUAGCACCACAGGACAGCUAGACUGUGCUUUCUAAAAAGGACCUAAAACUGAAGUUUUCUACUCAACUGAAAAGAAGUAUUCUAGAAAAUGUAUUACUAUUCCUAUAGGCUGCCUGGCUGUUCUGUUCAUGACGGUGGUUAUUCCAAUUACUUUAAGAAUUAUAUUUAUUAGAAAACAAACAGUAUUAUUUGUUGCACUUCUUUUUUCUUCUGCACUCCCAGUAAAUGUUCCCAUAACCCCACAUCACCAAUUAGCUUUAAAUUAUGCUCCCAGGACGAACAUGAUCUGGACUUACAAGUCCAACAAUUUCAUUUUUAGCAGAGUGUAAGUGGGGUCAUUUUCACUGUACUGUUCAAUAAUAAUGAAAGUAAUAAAUAUGCAUCCAGACACUCAAGCUCUAAAUUUGACACCAAGAAAAGUUAACUGGUUUGAUUGGAAGGAUGAUGUAGA